rnacentral:ncRNA from 2 species
AAAAUUCCGCCUGUUUCAGGUUCCCCUGACGCCAUCCGGCAAAGGGGUGAAACUGGGAAGUCAGGUACGUUUAGGCGUCAGGGGUCAGGCGUCGGGCGUCAGGGAAAUGCGCUGCUUCAUUCGCAACUCACUGACGCCUGGCGCCUGAAGCCCGCCGCCUGACCAAAUCCUGCGCUGCACCCGCAACGGUAUGCGAGUUUUUUGGCCGCCAAAAAGCCACUGGGGAAACCUGGGAAGGCGGCGGCCUGUAAAUCGCGAGCCCGGAGACCGGCCUGGAAUUUGGUGAAACG